GACGAACGCUGGCGGCGUGCCUAAUACAUGCAAGUCGAACGCACAGUUUAUACCGUAGCUUGCUACACCAUAGACUGUGAGUUGCGAACGGGUGAGUAACGCGUAGGUAACCUGCCUGGUAGCGGGGGAUAACUAUUGGUAACGAUAGCUAAUACCGCAUAAUAUUAAUUAUUGCAUGAUAAUUAAUUGAAAGGUGCAAUUGCACCACUACCAGAUGGACCUGCGUUGUAUUAGCUAGUAGGUGAGGUAACGGCGCACCUAGGCGACGAUACAUAGCCGACCUGAGAGGGUGAUCGGCCACACUGGGACUGAGACACGGCCCAGACUCCUCCGUGGGGCAGCAGUAGGGAAUCUUCGGCAAUGGACGAAAGUCUGACCGAGCAACGCCGCGUGAGUGAAGAAGGUUUUCGGAUCGUAAAGCUCUGUUGUAAGAGAAGAACGGGUGUGAGAGUGGAAAGUUCACACUGUGACGGUAUCUUACCAGAAAGAGACGGCUAACUACGUG
rnacentral:rRNA from 1 species